AGCGAACGCUGGCGGCAGGCCUAACACAUGCAAGUCGAACGAACUCUCCGGAGUUAGUGGCGGACGGGUGAGUAACACGUGGGAACGUGCCUUUUGGUUCGGAAUAACUCAGGGAAACUUGUGCUAAUACCGAAUGUGCCCUUCGGGGGAAAGAUUUAUCGCCAUUAGAGCGGCCCGCGUCUGAUUAGCUAGUUGGUGAGGUAACGGCUCACCAAGGCGACGAUCAGUAGCUGGUCUGAGAGGAUGACCAGCCACACUGGGACUGAGACACGGCCCAGACUCCUACGGGAGGCAGCAGUGGGGAAUCUUGCGCAAUGGGCGAAAGCAUGACGCAGCCAUGCCGCGUGAAUGAUGAAGGUCUUAGGAUUGUAAAAUUCUUUCACCGGGGACGAUAAUGACGGUACCCGGAGAAGAAGCCCCGGCUAACUUCGUG
rnacentral:rRNA from 1 species